UAGGGAAUCUUCGGCAAUGGACGAAAGUCUGACCGAGCAACGCCGCGUGAGUGAAGAAGGUUUUCGGAUCGUAAAACUCUGUUGUUAGAGAAGAACAAGGACGUUAGUAACUGAACGUCCCCUGACGGUAUCUAACCAGAAAGCCACGGCUAACUACGUGCCAGCAGCCGCGGUAAUACGUAGGUGGCAAGCGUUGUCCGGAUUUAUUGGGCGUAAAGCGAGCGCAGGCGGUUUCUUAAGUCUGAUGUGAAAGCCCCCGGCUCAACCGGGGAGGGUCAUUGGAAACUGGGAGACUUGAGUGCAGAGGAGGAGAGUGGAAUUCCAUGUGUAGCGGUGAAAUGCGUAGAUAUAUGGAGGAACACCAGUGGCGAAGGCGGCUCUCUGGUCUGUAACUGACGCUGAGGCUCGAAAGCGUGGGGAGCAAAAAGG
rnacentral:rRNA from 1 species